rnacentral:rRNA from 1 species
UCCGCCAGGGGACUACAAGCACAGCUUAAAACCCAAAGGACUUGGCGGUGCCUCAGACCCACCUAGAGGAGCCUGUUCUAGAACCGAUAACCCCCGUUAAACCUCACCACCUCUUGUUUUUCCCGCCUAUAUACCGCCGUCGUCAGCUUACCCUGUGAAGGUUAAACAGUAAGCAAAAUGGGCUAAGCCCAAAACGUCAGGUCGAGGUGUAGCGCACGAGAUGGGAAGAAAUGGGCUACAUUUUCUGCCACAGAACACCCCGAACAGCGCCCUGAAACAUGACGCCUGAAGGAGGAUUUAGUAGUAAAAGCAAA